rnacentral:rRNA from 1 species
CAGCCGCCGCGGGAAUACGAAGGGUGCAAGCGUUAAUCGGAAUUACUGGGCGUAAAGCGUGCGUAGGCGGUGAGUUAAGUCUGCUGUGAAAUCCCCGGGCUCAACCUGGGAAUGGCAAUGGAUACUGGCAAGCUAGAGUGUGUCAGAGGAUGGUGGAAUUCCCGGUGUAGCGGUGAAAUGCGUAGAGAUCGGGAGGAACAUCAGUGGCGAAGGCGGCCAUCUGGGACAACACUGACGCUGAGGCACGAAAGCGUGGGGAGCAAACAGGAUUAGAUACCCGGUAGUCCCUGUCUCUUAUACA